GAUGAACGCUGGCGGCGUGCCUAAUACAUGCAAGUCGAGCGAACAGACGAGGAGCUUGCUCCUCUGACGUUAGCGGCGGACGGGUGAGUAACACGUGGAUAACCUACCUAUAAGACUGGGAUAACUUCGGGAAACCGGAGCUAAUACCGGAUAAUAUAUUGAACCGCAUGGUUCAAUAGUGAAAGACGGUUUUGCUGUCACUUAUAGAUGGAUCCGCGCCGCAUUAGCUAGUUGGUAAGGUAACGGCUUACCAAGGCGACGAUGCGUAGCCGACCUGAGAGGGUGAUCGGCCACACUGGAACUGAGACACGGUCCAGACUCCUACGGGAGGCAGCAGUAGGGAAUCUUCCGCAAUGGGCGAAAGCCUGACGGAGCAACGCCGCGUGAGUGAGGAAGGGCUGCGGAUCGUAAAACUCUGUUAUUAGGGAAGAACAAAUGUGUAAGUAACUAUGCACGUCUUGACGGUACCUAAUCAGAAAGCCACGGCUAACUACGG
rnacentral:rRNA from 1 species